GAUGAACGCUGGCGGCGUGCUUAACACAUGCAAGUCGAACGAAGCAUUUGCGACAGAUUUUUUCGGAAUGAAGUUGCUUAUGACUGAGUGGCGGACGGGUGAGUAACGCGUGGGUAACCUGCCUUGUACUGGGGGAUAGCAGCUGGAAACGGCUGGUAAUACCGCAUAAGCGCACAAUGUUGCAUGACAUGGUGUGAAAAACUCCGGUGGUAUAAGAUGGACCCGCGUCUGAUUAGCUAGUGGGUGAGAUAACAGCCCACCAAGGCGAGGAUCAGUAGCCGACCUGUGAGGGUGACCGGCCACAUUGGGACUGGGACACGGCCCAGACUCCUACGGGAGGCAGCAGUGGGGAAUAUUGCACAAUGGAGGAAACUCUGAUGCAGCGACGCCGCGUGAGUGAAGAAGUAAUUCGUUAUGUAAAGCUCUAUCAGCAGGGAAGAUAGUGACGGUACCUGACUAAGAAGCUCCGGCUAAAUACGUG
rnacentral:rRNA from 1 species